rnacentral:rRNA from 1 species
UACGGAGGGGGCUAGCGUUGUUCGGAAUUACUGGGCGUAAAGCGCACGUAGGCGGCUUGGAAAGUUGGAGGUGAAAGCCCAGAGCUCAACUCUGGAAUUGCCUUCAAAACUCCCAAGCUAGAGUUCGGAAGAGGAGAGUGGAAUUCCCAGUGUAGAGGUGAAAUUCGUAGAUAUUGGGAAGAACACCAGUGGCGAAGGCGGCUCUCUGGUCCGAUACUGACGCUGAGGUGCGAAAGCGUGGGGAGCAAACAGG